AGUUUAGGAUAAUUUUUAAAAAAUAUAAUAGUGAUAUUUUGGCCCAAAACCAGCUAUUUUGGGACUUGGGAUUUGGCCAAAAUAUAGGCGAAAUCUAUGGCCAAACAUGUGUUUGCCAGAUAAAACCCAAGUUUAUUUUGGCAAAAUCUAUGGUCAAACGGGUCCUAAGUAUCGUUGGUGCUCCUAAUUUGGAUUUCUCUGUUCCAGUAAUUAAUUAUGAUUUUAUUUCAUUUAUUCCUGAUGUGCUUAUCAAGGUUAUAUAUUGUUGGAAGCUUAUAUGUUCCUUGUUCUUUUGUAUUCUCAUGAGUAGCAUUGAAAUGCGAUAUAUAGAAACAGACGGCUCCGGUAGUAAAUUAUUACUCAAGAAGUAAACAUAAAGAGGAUCAUGCCAAAAAGAAUCUUGCUUUGGCAGUUCUAUUUAGAUGGAUAAAUUGCCUAGAUUGCAUCUUAUUUCAUAAGAAAUUAGAAUCUAUUGCAAUUGUAGGCAUCUAUCUACCCUCUCUGAAGAGGUAAAAAAUAGUAGUAGUUCCCCUUCAUUUGUUUAUUGUACUAAUAAAAAUAUAAAAGGAAAAUAAAAAAUUCAAUUUAUUAAUGUGCUAUGGAUAUUGGUGAUAUCUCAUAUUUCAAAUUUAGACAUGUAAAUGAGCAACAUAAUAGAUAGUCUGCAGCUUUUAUCGCAUUGCAGUAAGAUUAGUGGUUAAUUUUUCAACUAUGGCUUACUGAUCUAUAGUAGCUAUCAGCAUUGUUACUCGAAUUUAAUUUGGACUUGUAUAAUUUCUGUAUAAGCUACCUUGGUGAAUUCUAAUGUGAUUUUCUUUGUUAGGGCAGAACUGAAGAAUCAGAGAACCGAAGAGAUGAUGCUUUAAGGAAAUUGCAUGAAAGAGACUGGACAACAUCUAUUGCAAACAAUUGCACAUGUCUAUUUUGACUGAAACUUCUUUCGUUGACGAUGUUUUAUAAUGUAACUUCUUUUGAUUCUUGGGCACAAAUACGAGGGAGCCAACAUUUUUCAGUAGUGCAAAGUCGUUGCAAUACAGGAUAUGACAGUCGUCAAUCAGGAUAUGUAAGUCUAUUUGUUUAUGGCGUAAAGUGUAAACAAGAGUAGAACACAUGUGUUUCUUUGAUAUGUUAUCAUGGAUUCCUGUAGUGACUCUAUUGGGCCCGUGCAUAGCACGGACAGCAUCAUCUAUCUAGUAACUAUAUAAUAAGUGCAACUUCAUUCGGACGACGAAGGGUAUCUCUUGUUAAUUUAACUUUAAAUAUGGGUAUUAUGGUAAAUCCGCCUCUCUUAACUUUCCAAGACAUGGUAACGUGUACAAUUGUAGCGAUACCCGCGUCACUUUACUUCUCAAACGAUCUUUUGCCUUUUCAUAGCACUUUCGUGAACAAAGACUUGGUUUCAUUUCUCACUCUCUCUGCUGCUAUUUUCGAUGUUCUUCUUCCUCAUCUGUUUUUGCUCAGUUUCUUAUUUUCUUGGUUUUUAAUCUUCUGGUUUCCUUUUGUUUUAUUAUUGUGUGUAAUUUGCUUCUCUUAUUCUUUUUUCAAUUUUCAGAUUCAGAUGUCUCAUAACAUUUUCUUCAUAUGGUUUAAAUUUAUGUAUUUAUCCAACUUUCUCUCUUCAUUUUUUCUUUGCCUUCUCUAUUUGAAUCUGUCUCCAUUUGUUUCUUACUUGAUUUUUCAUUUUUCCUCUAAGACCAUAUGGAUGUAAUUUGGUGCAACUUCUAAGAUUUGAUGCAUGUGUUUGCAGGUAAUUGAAUUUCUUCAUGUUUUUUGAAGGUUUCAGUCUGUUCUUCAAAUAAAGUAAAAUCUCAGCCUUAAUCAUCCCUAUAAUGUUAAUGGAUAUCAGUCUAGGUGUUUUAAAUUUUCAGAUAACGUCAUAUUGGUUCUUGGCUCUGCGUUCUGUGUAGUACGUAUCACUGUUGUACAGUAAAGCAAAGCUUAUUUUUUAACUGCCAGUAGACUGAAAGAAAGAUAUCAAAACAGAGGAUGAUCUUCUAACAUAACUUUACAGCAUCUGUCUAAUGUUACGGCAUUUGAGAAGUUUGGAUCUUUUUUCUUUUUUGAGCUUAUUUUGGAACAAAAUUGAGGGGAUAUUUUCUUUCCUAUUUCUGUGAGUUGAUUGAAAAAGCACUGAACUAGAGUUAUUCCGUUGAUUUGUCUAUAUUUUCUGGAUUAAUGUGCUCCUAUGACUCAUGUUCUGAAGAUUGAUUCUUAUUGGACUUUGGAGGUAUGCCUUUUCUAUUAGGUCCUUCGAGCACUUAACAUUGUUGGUAAGCUCGGUCAUUGUCUAAUUUUGUUUAUACAAUAGUAAUUCUAGAUAUAUGAAGCUCAGAAAGCAGAUGAGCAGUCAUAGUGUUGAUUAACAUGAUAGACUAACAGUCAAGUAUAUUCAUAGAGUAUAAUAGGUGUGGAUCUUAUAUGUGCAAAAUUUUGCGUGAUUAUUGUAGCACCUCAGUCAUUUAUUUUUAAAAACUAGGUUAAAGUAUUGACCCACUUAUUCCUGCUUAUCUUCUUCUGCUUUUCACUGGAGCAGGAAGAAGAGGAGAGAGGGUAAAUUUAUUAAGUGAAAACUUCAGCUGCUCACUAAUUGGCAAAAAGGAAAGAAAAGCAAGUCAAUAUUCUUGUACUAAUCAUAUUGGCAAUUGAUAUUUCGUUUCCAUGAUCUAAGCUGCCUGACCAUCUUUCUAUAAAACUCUUCUUGUUUACAAGCCGGUUUGACUAGAUUUUUAUUACCUAAAAAAUUUAUUGAAAAGUAUCGUACGUCGUUUUAUUAAUUUAUAUCAUCAUAUACAUUCAUAAGGUUCUUUUACCUUGUAAUGUUGAUUGAAUUAGGGGCUGCUGUAACCAUACUUUUGAGUGACGCAUUUUAUUGCUUCUUAUUCACAUAUUUGGAUGUUCUUAUUUUGGACAGUGGAUGAUACCAGCGUUCCUACCGAGGCUGCAAUACAUAUUCUGGUAUUUUUUUCCAUCGGCAUGUUUAUGAUUGUGAAUGGCAUUUGUCAUCAUCAAUUCUAUUGCAAAAAAAUUAAAGGUUGGGACUUAUACAGCUGAAUGCUAUGUCCAGACUAAUCAAAGAAGAAGUUAAAAGGGAAGCUUGCUCUUAGAAUUAUAUAAAUGUUAAAUGUAAUGUUAGAAAAGUAUCCAAGUGAGAAAAACAUCAGUAGACAGAUACUUACCAUCGCUCAGAAAGAUGAGCGAAAAUCCAACCUAAGAAUCUACUAAUGGCAUCUCUUCGAGCGCUAUUUAAAAGUCGAGUAGUGGAAUGGGAAAUGUUACUGCAUUUAUCUGACCUUAGUAGAUAUUAUAUCUAUAAUUAGCAUAAGAGAAACACAGACUCUUGAAAAAGUAAAAUAACAUUAAACUACUGGCACAUGUAGAGUGCUUAUUUUCUGUGAGAGUAUCAAAAUCACUUUUUAUUGUUUGUGAUAAUGUUUUGUCCAAAAAAUUGCAGGAUGCAUCUAAGAAUGUGCUUCGGCUAAGUGCACUAGUUCUUGCUUUUUAUUUGAUGCGGAUUCUAUAAACUCUUUUCAAGAAUUUACCUUGAUAUCAAUGCAUCAAUUCUCGUCGUUCAAUUUUUUCCCGAGUGCAAUUAUUCCAUUAAGAUUUGGAAGAGAAAAGUGAGAAACUUAUCCAGUGGCUGACUGGAGAAUAUUCUUGUUUGAUGAGGCUAGGCUUGAUAUCAAGAAUUGAUGAAGGAAACCAAGAGGCUCAGACAGUAUUUCAAAACACAUGGCUUUCUAUCCUUCCUCAUCGGUUGACUUAACUCGAGAUAAUGAAGAUUUAGAAUAUUUUGCUGUAAGAUUGUUUUGUGAUGCUUGAAAUAGCUGAUUUCAGGUAGUUGCUAAUUAUUUCAAUAUGAGCACAGUUUGAGAAUAUUGCAAAUACUUUCCCCGUGGUGUAGUAUCAUGGUAAAAAUUAUUUUCCCAUUCAUUAUGAUGAUGUUGCUUGCUGCUCAACCUAGACUUUCCUUGGAAUUUGGUUCUCUGGGAAUAGUUAUGUAUAUAUUUAAUCAUAAAGUUUGUGGGCGACAGCCGAUAGCCGGCGGUGACUUUAAACUUUUGGAAAAGUUAAUUUAUUUUUAUGUUUCCAGCUU